UACAGGAAAGAAAAUCUCAGCUGUGUCGCGCAACAUAGCAUAGGUGCCAAACCCGCUGUACCAGCCCGGUGCAGCAACCUGCAGCACCCGCCAGGAUGUGGCUGAAAGAAGACACCCUCAGCUGGUCAGAAAAGAAGUUGCAAGGACAUAUGCGAAAGAUGACGAGACAAGCCUCUCUGCACGAUUUUCAGCUUUUGAAAAGAAGGCACUCAGCAACCAAAUGGCUAUAUACUAAACGAGCUACAGAGCCUAAGGAGACUGCUUUCAUCAGCUAAACCUCAAAGAUUUAUUAGGCUGCCGGAAGACUGCCCUACACUGCCUGCAACUGACGUGU